GGCGGUCUUCGGUAGUGGCUGCCGGGAAUCCAAACAGGUUUAUCCCGACAGCUUCGAUCGACGGCCGUA
ncrna:Mycolicibacterium smegmatis MC2 155 Actino-pnp RNA